AGAGUUUGAUCAUGGCUCAGAGUGAACGCUGGCGGCAGGCCUAAUACAUGCAAGUCGAACGGCAGCACAGCAGAGCUUGCUCUGUGGGUGGCGAGUGGCGGACGGGUGAGGAAUACAUGGGAAUCUGCCCAGUCGUGGGGAUAACGUAGGGAAACUUACGCUAAUACCGCAUGCGCCCUUCGGGGGGAAAAGCCGGGGACCGUAAGGCCUGGCGCGAUUGGAUGAGCCCAUGUCGGAUUAGCUAGUUGGCGGGUAAAGGCCCACCAAGGCGACGAUCCGUAGCUGGUCUGAGAGGAUGAUCAGCCACACUGGAACUGAGACACGGUCCAGACUCCUACGGGAGGCAGCAGUAGGGAAUAUUGGACAAUGGGCGCAAGCCUGAUCCAGCCAUGCCGCGUGAGUGAAGAAGGCCCUCGGGUUGUAAAGCUCUUUUGUCCGGAAAGAAAAGCGCCGGGUUAAUACCCUGGUGUCCUGACGGUACCGGAAGAAUAAGCACCGGCUAACUUCGUG
rnacentral:rRNA from 1 species